UACAGAGGGUGCAAGCGUUAAUCGGAUUUACUGGGCGUAAAGCGUGCGUAGGCGGUUCAUUAAGUCGGUUGUGAAAUCCCUGGGCUUAACCUGGGAACUGCAGUCGAUACUGAUGGACUAGAGUGCGGUAGAGGGUGGCGGAACUCCGGGUGUAGCGGUGAAAUGCGUAGAUAUCCGGAAGAACACCGAUGGCGAAGGCAGGUCUCUGGGCCAUUACUGACACUGAGAAGCGAAAGCAUGGGGAGCGAACAGG
rnacentral:rRNA from 1 species